rnacentral:rRNA from 1 species
UACGGGGGGGCAAGCGUUGUUCGGAAUUACUGGGCGUAAAGGGCUCGUAGGUGGCCAACUAAGUCGGACGUGAAAUCCCUCAGCUUAACUGGGGAACUGCGUCCGAUACUGGAUGGCUUGAGUUUGGGAGAGGGAUGCGGAAUUCCAGGUGUAGCGGUGAAAUGCGUAGAUAUCUGGAGGAACACCGGUGGCGAAGGCGGCAUCCUGGACCAACACUGACACUGAGGAGCGAAAGCCAGGGAGCAAACGGG